CUUUGAGCUAGACUCUGGGAAGUCUGCAGUGUACUAAAGCUAUAUUCAACAUGGAGCAGGGUGCUCUGAGGAAACUGGUGGAAUCCAUCAGUAAAACUGUCAGGAGCUUCAAAAAAAUGAAGUAGAGCAUCUUAUCAAACUUUUUCACAGCUUCAUGGAAAAAAACUGGAUGAUUUGGUAACACUGGGCUAGAUCUUAACACAUUUUGAGAGAUCCUGCACAACGUAUUUGGAAUGACUGAUGAUAUGCUGAUGAACAGAGAUAAGUCACGGAGACUAAAAUGUGCCAAUUUAAGAUGGAAACUAUAUAACUGAAGAGAGAAAUGAAGAAACUGAAGACAAUGCAAGACCAAAGGGAAGAGUGUUAUAAAUGGAGCUUUUGGCUUAAAAGCAACAUGAGGAACUCCAAAAACAAUACUCUCUCAGUUCACAAUUUUGCCUAGAAAUAGCUCUGGUUUGUCCAACUGGGGUGAUGUUCAUUUCCUAUGCUUUAUUCUUCUAAUGUCUGGAUUUGGGGUGAGGAACUCUGGAAAGAAUAGGAACAAUUUUAGGUAACAGUUUUCAAAGAAGCAAAUUGCUUUCAAGUAUGUGUCUAUUUGCUUAAGAAAAGAUUGUAGAAUUCUAUGUGAGCAAAUUUUUAUCCAUUCUUAAUCAUUCACUUGAAUUUGGCUUUGGGACAUUAAAGAGAAGAUCAGUAAUUUAAAGAUAAUUUUUUAAAUUAUAGCACCAUUUUAAAAUCAUCAAAUUUCUGUGACAUUUGAUGUUAUUUUGUAUUUCAGCCCGCAAUCUAAUUUUUCAUGAGAUGCAUGUAAAUAUAGUUUCCACUUAAGAUUGAGGCAGUGUUUUGUUUUGUGGUACCAGGGGUUGAAACCAUAGACCCACACAUGCUAGGCAAGCGCUCUACGAUUUAGCUAUCUCCCCAGCCCUGCAGUGUUCUUACACACAAGUCUCACUUAGAAGUGAAAAGCUAAGUUUUAUGAAUGUUAAUCCUGUGCUAAUACUAAUACUUGGUGAAAAGGGCUGUGAUCCAACUGUAUAUGGCUGGACAGCAGCACAAUGUCAAAGAUUUUCCUCCUCUAAUCAUGCACCCUAAAAUGUUUCUUAGGCAUUUAAUAUGUUGGCUGAUGAUGUAACAGUGGUAAGCAUGCUUAUCUAGCAUGUAGAAAGUCCUAUGCUCAGUCCCUAGUGGGAAAUAAAAAGAUAUGUUAAUUUGGGGGAAAUAAUACUUUUUUCUUUUUUUCAGUAGUGGAGAUUGAACCCAGGGCCUUCACACUGAGCUACAUUCCCAG
rnacentral:lncRNA from 1 species